UCAGAGUUGGGCGAGCGUAGCCGGUCUGCGUUUCAAUCGAAGUGUCCUGCAGCGUCAUUGCAAGCAGCUGAACCCUCCAACCCAUCAACAGCUAUUGACUGAUUUUGAAAUCAAUACCCAAAACCGUUCGUCCCAACAAUCCCUGCGUAAGCAGCUGCAUCUUUCCCUCAGGUGGCACGUAGAAGGAAGUUCCGUUUCCGUGAUCACAUUGACCAACUUUCAGCAUGGGAGUCCCAGUUGUCAAUAGGAAACGGCAACCAAGUACUCCAGGGUGAAAAUCAAGUUUUUCCAGUUGAAAUGGUGGGCCUAUUGAUCAAACAUAGCUCCAGGACCUACAACAGUCCUUUGUGGUAGGCCAGCCUCAGUUCAGUUGUAAUUUUAAUCAGUAACUUUUGAAAGCACCACAAAUCAGUUGUGUGUGUGUAUUGUGAGAAAUUGUUCUAUAGGCUAAUGUGAAGAGUGGUAUAGUUUUGGCAGCCAUUAUUUAGGCAAGAUAAGUCUUCCAAAACAUCGGUUAUGGGAAAGAUUUAUUCAUAAGAGAGCAUUGUGAAUGCACCUUUGCUGCCUUUUAAGCUUACAAUUCUGUCCAGGACAUGACCUGUUCUUUAUCUGCAAUGUUUGCUCUAUCAGAAAAUCAAGUGUGCUACAUACAUGAUGCUCUUUAAGAAAAGCUGAUCAGUCCCUGUACCCUUUUAAGAACAUUUUAAUUACCAUUUUAGCUGAAACAAUUUCACUUUUGUUGCAUUGAUAAUUAAGAUGUCUGUGAGUUUUCGAUAAACAUGUUGUAUUUACUAGGAACCCAUUGUAUUAGUCGUAUUCAUGGAAACAUAUUCAUCAGAUCUGUAUUUAUUGAAUAAACUGCAUUUUUACUGC